GGCUUUGUCCAUCAUAGGUACAGUAACUCCACACUUAGCGUCAUCCUGGUUUACCUGUUUUUUGUUGUUACAUUGUUGAUCAGUGAGAGAACCUGCUAAUUU